UGGGGAAUAUUGCACAAUGGGGGAAACCCUGAUGCAGCGACGCCGCGUGGAGGAAGAAGGUCUUCGGAUUGUAAACUCCUGUUGUUGAGGAAGAUAAUGACGGUACUCAACAAGGAAGUGACGGCUAACUACGUGCCAGCAGCCGCGGUAAAACGUAGGUCACAAGCGUUGUCCGGAAUUACUGGGUGUAAAGGGAGCGCAGGCGGGAAGACAAGUUGGAAGUGAAAUCCAUGGGCUCAACCCAUGAACUGCUUUCAAAACUGUUUUUCUUGAGUAGUGCAGAGGUAGAUGGAAUUCCCGGUGUAGCGGUGGAAUGCGUAGAUAUCGGGAGGAACACCAGUGGCGAAGGCGGUCUACUGGGCACCAACUGACGCUGAGGCUCGAAAGCAUGGGUAGCAAACAGGAUUAGAUACCCUGGUAGUCCAUGCCGUAAACGAUGAUUACUAGGUGUUGGGGGAUUGACCCCCUCAGUGCCGCAGUUAACACAAUAAGUAAUCCACCUGGGGAGUACGACCGCAAGGUUGAAACUCAAAGGAAUUGACGGGGGCCCGCACAAGCAGUGGAGUAUGUGGUUUAAUUCGAAGCAACGCGAAGAACCUUACCAGGUCUUGACAUCCGAUGCAUAACACAGAGAUGUGUGAAAUCCUUCGGGACAUCGAGACAGGUGGUGCAUGGUUGUCGUCAGCUCGUGUCGUGAGAUGUUGGGUUAAGUCCCGCAACGAGCGCAACCCUUAUUGCCAGUUACUACGUUAAGAGGACUCUGGCGAGACUGCCGUUGACAAAACGGAGGAAGGUGGGGAUGACGUCAAAUCAUCAUGCCCUUUAUGACCUGGGCUACACACGUACUACAAUGGCGUUAAACAAAGAGAAGCAAGACCGCGAGGUGGAGCAAAACUCAAAAACAACGUCUCAGUUCAGAUUGCAGGCUGCAACUCGCCUGCAUGAAGUCGGAAUUGCUAGUAAUCGCGGAUCAGCAUGCCGCGGUGAAUACGUUCCC
rnacentral:rRNA from 1 species